AACUAUCCAUGUGGGUAUUUUUUUUUGAUUUUUCUUUGAAAGAUCUGAGAUUGAUCGCCGAUUCUGUGAAAACCCAUCUUUUUACUUAGAUUUUGUUGAUUUUUUUGGUUCCAUUUCUCACCGAUCCUUGUGGGGUUUGCUGUUUUUGAGAUUUUCAAGGCAAGGUGGGAGAACGGAGUUGAGUGUGAUUUGCAUGGGUGACGAUGCCAGAGUUGCGUAGUGGAGCAAGGAGAUCAAAACGGCUUGGUGAUCUCCAGCCUGCCCCUCAACCUGUUGGCCAAGAGGAAAACUUGGUCUUGCCUACUCAGAACAGAACUAGAAGAAGAGGUGGUGGAGGAGGAAGAGGAAGGGGUAAUGCAACAGCUAUAGGAAAAGGGCCUUCAGGGACACGUGGAAGACCGAGUGGUGCUGGUAGGGGUAGGGGGAUUAGAUUGAUAGAUUUGGACCCAGAGCCGCCGUGUGAGGGUCUACCUCAAGUUGCUCCUGUUGGGGUUGCCGAACCAGCUUUUAAUAGAGUUGACGGUGCUGCAGAUAAAAGGAUUGCUAUGGAUGGUGGUGGAAGUCCAGACAAAGUAAUGGGAGUUGAAGAAGAAGCAGGCACAACUCCUGUUCCAGAUAGGGUGCAAGUGGGUAAUUCUCCUGUAUAUAAAACGGAAAGGAAAUUAGGUAAGGGUGGAUUUGGGCAAGUAUAUGUUGGUCGAAGAACAAGUGGGGGAACUGAGAGAACAGGACCAGAUGCUGUCGAGGUUGCAUUAAAGUUUGAGCAUCGAAAUAGUAAAGGUUGCAACUAUGGCCCUCCUUAUGAAUGGCAGGUGUACAACACCCUUAAUGGAUGCUACGGAAUCCCAUGGGUUCAUUUUAAGGGCCGUCAGGGAGACUUUUACAUCUUGGUCAUGGACAUGCUGGGACCCAGUUUGUGGGAUGUCUGGAAUUCUUUAGGCCAAUCGAUGUCGCCGAACAUGGUAGCAUGCAUUGCAGUGGAGGCAAUAUCGAUUCUUGAAAAGCUGCACCUUAAGGGGUUCGUGCAUGGAGAUGUGAAGCCAGAAAAUUUCCUACUUGGUCUGCCAGGAAGUCAAGAUGAGAAAAAGCUGUAUCUUAUUGAUCUCGGUUUGGCAUCCAGAUGGAAAGAUGCAGCAUCUGGUAUGCAUGUUGAAUAUGACCAGAGGCCAGAUAUAUUCAGGGGCACCAUAAGAUAUGCAAGUGUGCAUGCGCAUUUGGGUCGAACUGGAAGUAGAAGGGAUGACCUUGAGUCACUAGCAUACACAUUAAUAUUUCUUAUAAAGGGAAGGUUACCGUGGCAAGGCUAUCAGGGUGACAACAAGAGUUUUCUUGUCUGUAAGAAGAAAAUGGCCACUUCCCCAGAGUUGAUGUGUUGUUUCUGUCCGGCACCAUUCAAGCAGUUCCUUGAGGCUGUGACAAAUAUGAAAUUUGACGAGGAACCAAAUUAUGCCAAGCUUAUCUCUUUCUUUGAGAGUCUUAUUGAGCCAGUCACGUCAUUACGGCCAAUAAGAAUUGAUGGAGCUCUCAAGGUUGGGCAGAAGCGGGGAAGGUUGCUUAUAAACUUGGAGGAAGACGAGCAACCAAAGAAAAAAGUACGAUUAGGUAGUCCGGCAACACAAUGGAUAUCUGUUUAUAAUGCAAGACGUCCUAUGAAGCAAAGGUACCACUACAAUGUUGCCGACACUAGGCUUAGGCAGCAUGUAGACAAGGGAAAUGAAGAUGGUCUUUACAUCAGCUGUGUGGCUUCAGCAGCCAAUCUGUGGGCUUUAAUCAUGGAUGCAGGAACCGGUUUCUCUUCUCAGGUUUACGAGCUUUCAGCUGCCUUCCUCCAUAAGGAUUGGAUUAUGGAACAGUGG
rnacentral:misc_RNA from 1 species